GUUGUAUAGUCAAGUAAUUAAGUGCAUGUGGUGGAUGCCUUGGCAGUCAGAGGCGAUGAAAGACGUAAUAGCCUGCGAUAAGCUCCGGGGAGGCGGCAAAUAUCCUUUGAUCCGGAGAUUUCUGAAUGGGGGAACCCACCCGCUAUAAGGCGGGUAUCAUAAGCUGAAUACAUAGGCUUAUGAAGCGAACGAGGGGAAGUGAAACAUCUCAGUACCCUUAGGAAAAGAAAUCAAUUGAGAUUCCCUUAGUAGCGGCGAGCGAACGGGGAGCAGCCCAUUAAGUUGUGUGUGUUCUAGUGGAACGCUCUGGGAAGUGCGAACGUAGAGGGUGAUAUUCCCGUACACGAAAGGGCACACACAAUGAUGACGAGUAGGGCGAGGCACGUGAAACCUUGUCUGAAUAUGGGGGGACCAUCCUCCAAGGCUAAAUACUCCUGACUGACCGAUAGUGAACCAGUACCGUGAGGGAAAGGCGAAAAGAACCCCUGUGAGGGGAGUGAAAUAGAUCCUGAAACCGCAUGCAUACAAGCAGUGGGAGCCGACUUGUUCGGUGACUGCGUACCUUUUGUAUAAUGGGUCAGCGACUUAUAUUCAGUAGCGAGGUUAACCGAAUAGGGGAGCCGUAGAGAAAUCGAGUCUUAAUAGGGCGUUUAGUUGCUGGGUAUAGACCCGAAACCAGGCGAUCUAUCCAUGAGCAGGUUGAAGGUUGGGUAACACUAACUGGAGGACCGAACCCACUGUCGUUGAAAAGCCAGGGGAUGACUUGUGGAUAGGGGUGAAAGGCUAAUCAAGCCUGGUGAUAGCUGGUUCUCCCCGAAAGCUAUUUAGGUAGCGCCUCGGACGAAUACCAUUGGGGGUAGAGCACUGUUUCGGCUAGGGGGUCAUCCCGACUUACCAAACCGAUGCAAACUCCGAAUACCAAUGAGUACUAUCCGGGAGACAGACUGCGGGUGCUAACGUCCGUAGUCAAGAGGAAAACAAUCCAGACCGCCAGCUAAGGCCCCAAAAUCAUAGUUAAGUGGGAAACGAUGUGGGAAGGCAUAGACAGCUAGGAGGUUGGCUUAGAAGCAGCCACCCUUUAAAGAAAGCGUAAUAGCUCACUAGUCGAGUCGGCCUGCGCGGAAGAUGUAACGGGGCUAAAACUAUGUGCCGAAGCUGCGGAU
rnacentral:rRNA from 1 species